rnacentral:rRNA from 1 species
CACCUCGGGUGACAGGGAGACAGGUGGUGCAUGGUUGUCGUCAGCUCGUGUCGUGAGAUGUUGGGUUAAGUCCCGCAACGAGCGCAACCCUUAUCCUUUGUUGCCAGCGGUCCGGCCGGGAACUCAAAGGAGACUGCCAGUGAUAAACUGGAGGAAGGUGGGGAUGACGUCAAGUCAUCAUGGCCCUUACGACCAGGGCUACACACGUGCUACAAUGGCGCAUACAAAGAGAAGCGACCUCGCGAGAGCAAGCGGACCUCAUAAAGUGCGUCGUAGUCCGGAUUGGAGUCUGCAACUCGACUCCAUGAAGUCGGAAUCGCUAGUAAUCGUGGAUCAGAAUGCCACGGUCGAAUACGUUCCCGGGCCUU